AACAUCAAAUGCUUCCAGUGACAAAGCGGAAAGCAAGAGAACUCUAGAUAUAUUUCCGGUCAGAUUCUUCCUGCAACAAUUAGUAGUUUCCGGUCACGAGAGCCGAACAUCAAAUGCUUCCAGUGACAAAGCGGAAAGCAAGAGAACUCUAGAUAUAUUUCCGGUCAGAUUCUUCCUGCAACAAUUAGUAGUUUCCGGUCAGGGAUGCACAGAUUUCCGGUUGCACAGAUUGGUCUAUUAAUAAUUUUCCAGUCACAGUUACACUUUUCCGGUUGCGGGUGAAGAUUUUCCGGUUGCGGUCGCAUGGAUCAGAAUUGUCGCUCGGAUGGGAUCAGUGCGCUAAAUAACUAUGCUAAAUAGCACGCCCCUAUAUACCCACCCUGUUCCAGUCAACCCCUCGCCUCCCUCCAACCAAACCACCCCCCACCCCUCCUCUCCUGAUCCAAAUCAACGCGGCAUCCGCGAGCAGCGAGAGCGCGACAGCCACUAACCGGAUGAGCGCGGCGGCGGCGACCAGUAGCAUGGCGCGGCGGCUGCAGCGGCGUCGAGCGAUGUGGUGCGGAGGCCAAGGCUGCGGCGGCGUCGAGCGGCGUGGUGCGGCGGCGUCGAGCGGAGCGUGGAGGCUGCGCGGCGUCCAUCGGCGUGGCGCUGACCAUCUGCUGUUGAUCGUGCAUAAGCAGGAGCAGAGGGAGAAGCAGAGCCAAAUCCAUGUUGUCCAACCUCGGCACUAGCACUUGAUUGCUCAAAGCUUGGCACUGUGUAUGUUGGGUUUUCCACUAUAUUCGGUAAUGCAGUAAUACACCCUGCUACUUUGUCAGUUUUAAAUAUUUGGUAUUUCAGUAAUCCUGUAUCAAAAUAAUUCAUUGAUCCAAUAAUCAUGUAAUCCACACGAAUCUCAGUAAUUUCAAAUGUUCAUUAGUAUUUUUUUGGAUGACACACGAGUGAUUUCAGUAGUACAUUUUUUUUAGCUUAUGCUUUUCCUUUGAACAAGCAACAAUAUCCCUGCCCAUUUAUUCCAUAUCCUAUUCAUCUUAAUGGAGACACUGACAACUCCUGCAUAUGCUAUUUUAGAAUUCAUAUGCACUAUCCAAUGUCUUGAAGUGCAUCCAGUUCAUAUUCCAGUGUUCAGCUCUUCAACUACUGAUAUUGCACAUUUAGUACAAUGCCUUUCUCAGUAAUUAUGUUCAGUAAUCCAGCAGAUUCGAUUCAGUAGUCGAUCCAAUGUAUGUAGUAAUUUAUCUUUGUUUUGUAAUCUUUGUUAUAUAAUUCUGAAAUAAUUGCUGAACCAAUACAAUUUAGUUGUUCCAAGCAAGAGUAAAUAUUGUGCUUUAGUAGUUCGAGCUAUAGCAGUACCACCCCUCUUGUAGUGUUCAGUAGUUAGCUUGUAAAAUUUCAGUAAAUUUAUUUCAGUUAUUUUUGGAUUUGAUACAUAGCUAAGCAUGUUAUUAGCAUUUUUAGUUCAGUAAUUUGUUAUUCCAAGAACAAUUGUUCUUUUUUCUGUUAAGUUUAGUCUCAGUACUAUGUUAUUUCAGUAGUAGUAUAAGUGUUAGCAUAGCUGUUGAUUACUGAGUCAGUAUAGUAGCUUGUGUUAGCAUCUACUUGGACACAAUAUAGGGCCCAACUUCUAUACUACAUGUUGUUCCACAAGCUCAACAACAGAAGACCCUUACCGGCUACGAUUUAAGAACUAGCUCCAGGGAAGCUUCACCAUGUGGACAUGUCACCAUUUUAUGAUUCGUCGCCAUCAUUCCCACUACUGCGAUAGUACUGAACUUUCACAAGGAAGAGGGCUCCAAUUGAAGAGAGACGAUGCAGAAAUGUGAUAUGUACAAAUUUAUCUGUUGUCGGUCAAUUUUUUUUGAAGACUGCAUGAGGCUAUUAUUUUGUGACAAAUAUGUAUACACAUUCAUGCCCGCCGCCAACUAUAUGUAUAUGCUUGGAUUCAGUAAUCUGAAGAAUCAGUUAUUCACCAUUAUGCACUUACAGUAAUUUCUCAA